AUAAAUUCAUCACUCAUACACUCCCAUUUUCUUAAAUCAACAAGGCUUUUGAAUUAAUGUUGAAGGGAGAAGGCCUUCAUUGCAUCAUCACCAUGGAGGGCUAAACGUACUGUCCUUGAAAAGGAUCUUCUAGCUAGUUGCUACUGUCUUCGUGCAAGUCAACUAGCAUGUAGGGUUGUGUUAUUUUUUCAGAACAGUGGUGGCUGUUCAGGAAAGCAACCCUUGCAUCAUCCACGAAGCUAGAAGCUUUGGGGUACUCUCCUGAUGAAUCCAUUCAUCAAAAGUUCUAGAAGCUUUGUGAACGCCUACUAAAUAUCACAGAAUUUUAAAUCUGCUUUCCUUCUGAUGAGAAAGGCA